UACGUAGGGGGCAAGCGUUAUCCGGAUUUAUUGGGCGUAAAGAGCUCGUAGGCGGCCGUUCGCGUCGGAUGUGAAAGCUCAGGGCUCAACUCUGAGAUGCCAUUCGAUACGGGACGGCUAGAGGUAGGUAGGGGAGAGUGGAAUUCCUGGUGUAGCGGUGAAAUGCGCAGAUAUCAGGAGGAACACCGGUGGCGAAGGCGGCUUCCUGGCCUGUUCUUGACGCUGAGGCGCGAAAGCUAGGGGAGCAAACGGG
rnacentral:rRNA from 1 species